UGGGCUGACUGAUGCUCACUCUGUGUCUCAGCUUCAAUGCUCCCUCCUCAGGGCUCCCUGAUUACCCUCACUCUGGAGCGGUCAGGCACCCUGUGAGCAUUGCCGUGGCCCACAGUUCCCCAUCAUGGUGAUUACUUAUUUCCUGCACUUACCAGGAAGGAGGAAAAUCCUGAUACGUGCUGCAGCCUGGAUGGACCUUGAGGACAUGAUGCCGCGUGAAACGAGCCAGAUGCGAAAGGACGAAUACUGUAUGACUCCACUUGCAUGAGGUCUUUGGAGGAGUCAGAAUCACAAAGACAGAAAGCAGAAUGACUCUCCGCUUGAGGGGGCAUCGUUCCCAUUUCACAGACGAGGAAACCGAGCUUCUAGGAAGCUAGGAAACUUUCACCAUGGUCACGCACUGGAAGGUAGAGAAGCCAGAUCCCACUCCUGCCCCCUGCAGAUCCGUCUGACAUACAAGCAUCGUUUCUUUCAUGCUAGGACCCCUUGCUGCUGGAGGCCAGAGACCCAGCUGUAGCCUGCAGCACCCCAGAAACGUGGCAGUUUCCUCCUCAUCCGGGAUCGGCGUCAUCCCCAGCCCACGUGAGAUGGCAGCGAAGCAGGUGGCACUCGUGCCUCCCGGUCUCCAGCUUUGAGCGCACCGGGGAGGAGGAACUGAGGUCUCAGCACAUCUCACUGCCCCACCUCGCCCAAUUGGGUGCUGAGUCUGGCUCCCAACCAAUCACGGGACCAGGGGAGCACUUGGUGAUGAUUGGAUUGGAUUUCGCCCAAAUCAUGGGUAGAGAAUAGAGAAGUGGUUUCCCAGAGGAAAUUCUGGGCACUGUUCUACCAGAUGGGUGGUAUCCCCUACUCUGUCCUAGGGAGACAGGAAAGGGAACACUGGACUGAGAGGCGACCUGGGUUCCAUUUCUGGUUCUGCUGCUGGUUUGCUGCACGACCUUGAGCAGGUUACUGAUGAACUUCUCUGGGCCUCGCUGUAAAGUAAGGGGGUGAGGUUGGAUGCUCUCUAAGGGACCUUCCAGCUUCAAAAACCUUACCACUCGGAGGCUUUUCCCAUCUGUUUAGCCCAUAUGUUUUCUUGUGCCUGUAGACACCAGUAGUAAAAAUCCUUAGAAAACCCAGUGGGUUUUCUGUAGGGAAAGUUGUGGAGAGUAGAGCUAAGUUUGGGAUUGGCAGCAGGGCUAGACAGGCAUUAGGGAGCUUUGUUCUCUGCAUGCAGUGCUGCGAGGAGGCAAGACCUGGGUUCAUGGGAGACUUUGGGGCCCAUACAAAUGGUCAGAGAUGAUCACAACCUCAGGCUGGGUCUGCCACUAGGAUUAAGCCUCACUCUGUGCUUUGCUUGGUGUCAAGACUGAGUGCGUGGCUAGGGUUGGGGGUACCAUGUGAGUUGGGGUCACUAUAUGGCUGAGGUGGAGACUCAGUCUAGGCCUAGGGUGAGGGAUCAGAGCUGAGCUGUUCAGCAGUAGGCAGGGCAGAUUGCCGUAAGCUGGUAUGUGGGGGACUUAGGUGUCAUUCAAAAGCCACUUUGGCCACACGUGACUUCUGAAGCGCUUAUUUUAUCAUUAUU